rnacentral:tRNA from 1 species
GCACCCUUAGCUCAAAUGGAUAGAGCGUCUGACUACGGAUCAGAAGGUUGGGGGUUCGACUCCCUCAGGGUGUACCA